UAAGUGUUAUGCUAAUAAUCAUCAUGUUAGUGGGAGCAUGAUAAUUAUGAUAAGUAUUGCAAGUUAGCAAUGUUAAUUAUAGAAAACAAAAGUUUCAAUUGGGAAAAAGUUGUUUUGCUAUAAUUAAGGGAGAGGAAAUUAUGCUUCAUCUCAAAUCUAUAAGCUUAGAUCGUGAGGUUUUAAUCAUUUAGUCAAGGAUAUAUAUGAAUUUCAUGUUGGAAUGGCUCAACAUAAGGAAAUUCUGUAUAUGGGUCCAUUAUUUGCGUUCUAAAAUUCGAUUAUGAUUACGGCAUCCCUUUUCAUAAUCUGAAUUAUGAGAACUUGGCAAAUUGAAAUGGAAAUAUUAUAGCAAAAGACUGGUUUAGUCUUUAUGUGAGACAUCAUGAAUCGUGUCCCAUAUGCUUCGGAUAUAGGAUCGAUUACAUGUGCUAUAUUCAUCCGUUCUAAAAUUUUCCAAAUGCCUGGGGCAUUAAGAAGGGAAAAGGUUUAGAACUGGAUAUGACUAAAAGGAUUAAACAAUUGUCGAGGACAAUCUAAGGUUUACCAAAGAUUGGUUGCUCAAGGACAAUUGGAAGUAUAGUGAUAAUUCUGGAAGGACCAUAUUGACAUAAUCUGUAAGGAGGCAACUCUUGUUCAGAAGUGAUAGUCAAAAUGGAAUCUGGAAAUGUUUCAAAGUUAGAAUUUUCAAUCUGUGUAAGAUUAAGGAAACUUAAUGCAAGAAGGAUAUUUCCAAGGAGUUGAUCUCCUUUGGAAUACUCUGUAAUGAUUGUUGCCAAGUCUUUGUGGCUUUGUGCAUAAUCACUACAAGAGGAACAGUGUAUAUAAGUUUAAAAUCUAACAGAUUUCGAUUUGGGGGCGCCUGCAAUUCUUCCCAGUAUGGAAUGAGUAAAGAAUCAAGCUACAAGUCUCGAUCUAUACGAAAGGCACUGGUUUUUUUCUUUCUUUCGGUUUCAUUGAUAGCAGAAUAUCCUGACUCUAUAAGGGCGCUAGCGCUUUACUAAUAGAAUAGAAAAGGGGCCUGAAAAAGUAAGAGGCUGCGCUGCUACUCUAGGCUCGCUUCUUCCCGCCCCUUAUUGAAAACGAAACUAACGAGCAAUCAAACAAACUAAAGCGCUAACGUUAUAUUACUUAGUAAAGCAACCUUUCGCGCUAGGCGCUCACUNCCGGAAUGACUAAGUUAUUCAAACCAUCCACAGUCGGUCAUAUGUUGGAAGUAGAUAUGAAUUAAGACUGUCAUGGGUUGGCUUGUAGAGGUCUAAGGUGUUGGACAAAGGGCUACAAAACUCAUGAGUGCUCAUAAGUUCUGAGUAUUGGAUUCAACCCGCGCUCAUUUGAAUCACUUCAUGGAUUUUAUCACGAGUGAUCAUGAGACGAUAAUAUGUUAUAUUCUUUAAACCUAGAGAUAUGAGUUGUU
rnacentral:lncRNA from 1 species